CAUACAGGAGUUCUUGUUCCUGCCACAGCGAGAGGGUUGACUGGUUGGUACGUGUGCUGAAGGGAACUCUGUGUGUAUGUGCCUGGGUGUGGGCGGAGAUCUUUGCUGAAAGCUGAAAACAAGCCGCACAAAAAGCCCUGCAAAAAAUAUAUGCUCACUCUUUUUUAGAGCAUAUCAAGGACUGUUUAGCAUUGGAAUAUAGAAUAGGAGCAAUGGGACAUUUGUAACGGAGAUCAAUAAACUUAAAGAGCAUAUUAAAGACGCAUCUGAAUAAAUUAGGAUAUCAUUGAAAAGGACUUGGCUCCUGCCAACACUACCAGAAGUACCAACAGCUGGUUUAAUGACCAUGGAACAAUUCUGCUUGGCUGACCAGCAAACUCACCUGAUCUAAACACCAAACAAAACCUAUGGAGUAUUGUCAAGAUGAAGAUGAGAGACACUGGACCCAACAAUACGGAUGAGCUGAAGGCUGCUACUAAAGCAUCGUCAGUUUCAUUAACACCUCACCAGAACCACAGGCUGAUCUCCUCCGUCCACCCCUGCACCGAUGGAGUAAUUCAUGCAAAAGGAGCCCUGACCAAGUAUUGAGAGUUGUAAUCAAUACCGCACAUUACAUAGAUAUACUUUUCAAUAGGCAUUAGCAAGGCUUCUGGUAUUGGUCUUUCACAUUAUUUUUUUUAAUUUUCUGAUAAAACUGAAUUCUGGGCUUUAAUAAGCCGGCCAUAAUCAUCAAAAUGAAAAAUAAAAUCCUUAAAUUACACUGUGUGUAAUCCAUCUAAACGUUUGGCUUUUUUGAGUUACUGAAAUAAACUUUGUGAUGAUAUUCUAAUUAACUGAUACACAUGUAAAAUGCCUUUGAAAGUCCGUCUUUACCCCACGGAUAAAUAUCAGCCUCACAGACUGAUAAGAGCAGAGACAGGAAUCAGGUCCAAUGAAAACAUUACAAAACAUGUGAAUGAAAAGAGUUUUCAUUGCAUUCAGUCAUGGCAGCGUUAGCUGGUACAUAUUUAACAGUGAAUUUCAUCAGGAUCGGUGACUGAUCCUUUAGAGCAACAUAAACGCUGACUGAUCCUCCACCACCAAUCCUGACAAAACAGAAUGAUCACAUCUUUUUAAUGGUUGGUGGUAAAGAAGAAGGAAAUACAAACUAAAGAGCCCAAAUAAAACACUCCAAAUACAUUGCAGUAUAAACACUAAAUAUCCACUAAAAACUGGAAAAGAGCUACAUGAUUUCUAUUGGAAAAAAAAUACAAAACUAGAAUCUUAAAGAAAAUAACAGUCUAAUAUAUUCACAAUGACACAGCGGUGGUACAGUCUCCAUCUACUGAGCGUUGGACCUCCUGAGGUUUCCCAAGGUUCAAGCUUUACCUCAAAUAUUAUAAACUAUAACCAUUGGAAUCUAUUCCAACAAAAUUUAUAAAAAAAAUAUAUGCAAAAACACUUAAAAAUAUAUAAAAAGCAGCAAGUCAAACAUGAAUAUUUCAAACAUGUCAUCGACUCAAGGAACACAUAUGAUAAAUGGGAAAUUAUAACAAUAAUAAUCAAGCACUGUGACACAUUGAGGUGAAACCAAAAUGAAGGAAAGCUAAUCUGAGGCAGUGAAUUGUGACUGAAUCAUGGCGCAGCGGUUUGGACAGUUUGGAGAGCUUCCUCCGUCCCAGUCUG